rnacentral:rRNA from 1 species
GACGAAGGGGGCUAGCGUUGUUCGGAAUUACUGGGCGUAAAGCGCGUGUAGGCGGUUGUUCAAGUCAGGUGUGAAAGCCUUGGGCUCAACUCAAGAAAUGCACUUGAUACUGGAUGACUAGAGGACCGGAGAGGAUAGUGGAAUUCCCAGUGUAGUGGUGAAAUACGUAGAGAUUGGGAAGAACACCAGUGGCGAAGGCGGCUAUCUGGACGGUUUCUGACGCUAAGACGCGAAAGCGUGGGGAGCAAACAGGG